AGUGAACGCUGGCGGUAGGCCUAACACAUGCAAGUCGAACGGCAGCACAGUAAGAGCUUGCUCUUACGGGUGGCGAGUGGCGGACGGGUGAGGAAUACAUCGGAAUCUACUUUUUCGUGGGGGAUAACGUAGGGAAACUUACGCUAAUACCGCAUACGACCUACGGGUGAAAGCAGGGGAUCUUCGGACCUUGCGCGAUUGAAUGAGCCGAUGUCGGAUUAGCUAGUUGGCGGGGUAAAGGCCCACCAAGGCGACGAUCCGUAGCUGAUCUGAGAGGAUGAUCAGCCACACUGGAACUGAGACACGGUCCAGACUCCUACGGGAGGCAGUAGUGGGGAAUAUUGGACAAUGGGCGCAAGCCUGAUCCAGCCAUACCGCGUGGGUGAAGAAGGCCUUCGGGUUGUAAAGCCCUUUUGUUGGGAAAGAAAAGCAGCAGGUUAAUACCCCGCUGUUCUGACGGUACCCAAAGAAUAAGCACCGGCUAACUUCGUG
rnacentral:rRNA from 1 species